rnacentral:lncRNA from 1 species
AAUAACCCUGUAUAUUCCUAAUGGAAGAAAAUAGAAAGAAUGGUAACUAAAAGGACAACAUAUUAUACUAAGCAUGCUUCACAUACAUGAAGAGUGAAGUUGAUCCUCGAGGAAAAAUAAUUUGAUUUCACUGAAUGAGGGUUUCCUGAUAAUUUGCCAUCUAAAAGCACACUUCAGAUACAUUCCUUUAUAUCAGUGUGGACCAAUUUUUUUAGAGAUAAUUUUGCAUCCUCCACCUCCAAAGAAUACUAUACAUUGCCUAAGGAAAUCUUGGUUUGCGAGCAAGAGAGAUAAUUUAGGAUGAAUUAUGUUGAGAAAUUUGAUAAGUUAGCUGCUGCAGUCAUCGAAUCUUCAGGAACAAGACAUACCAGGUGAUUUAUAGAAUGACUGUCUGUGAAUACAUACUGGCUCAUUGUAAAUAAAAGCUAAUACUGAUCAGGGCAAAACAGAACAAUCUCCAUUUGCAAAUGCUUAUACAAGACUGACAAAAGGAUGGACAUAUUUGGUUGUUUCUAACAUUUUGUUGCUGAAAAAAUCAAACCGUUUCCCACCGUACUGUGCUUGUCCAACUACUGAAGCCUGAAGCCCCGUCUGAAUUCUGAAAUGCGGAAAAUGUUUCAUUGUUCCCGAAGAAAUUGAAUAUCAGAGUUCUGACGGAUUUUGAUAGAACUCAUUGUUCCAGUGUUGAAGCUGAUCUGUUCAUGAGUUAAUCGAUCUAACUAUCAUGAUUUCAUAUACAUAAACUGAUAAACACUUCAAUCGGCCUUAAGCAAAACUGUUUCCUUUCAAGAACACUUGCACGCGGACAACUACCGACCAACUCCAAGAACUGAGCGGCAAAUCUUGCACGGCAGAGUAAAGAAGUACUUACCGCACCAGUGCAGGCUGCAGCAAGCACCAUGGCUGCCCCAGGCCCGCAGGAGCAGGGCCGCCGGCCGCGCCCGCUUCCCACUUCGCCGUCACGGCGUGUGUGCGCGUCAGUCCCUCACGGAGGAGAGGAGCUCUGGAUCCCGCCGGGCGCCAUGG